AGAGUUUGAUCAUGGCUCAGAACGAACGCUGGCGGCAGGCUUAACACAUGCAAGUCGAACGUACCUUUCGGGGUGCGUGGCAGACGGGUGAGUAACGCGUGGGAACCUACCUAUCGGUUCGGAAUAACUCGGAGAAAUUCGAGACAAUACCGGAUACGCCCCUCGGGGGAAAGAUUUAUCGCCGAUAGAUGGGCCCGCGUUGGAUUAGCUAGUUGGUGAGGUAACGGCUCACCAAGGCUACGAUCCAUAGCUGGUCUAAGAGGAUGAUCAGCCACACUGGGACUGAGACACGGCCCAGACUCCUACGGGAGGCAGCAGUGGGGAAUAUUGGACAAUGGGGGAAACCCUGAUCCAGCCAUGCCGCGUGAGUGAUGAAGGCCUUAGGGUUGUAAAGCUCUUUCGCCUGGGAAGAUAAUGACGGUACCAGGUAAAGAAGCCCCGGCUAACUUCGUGCCAGCCGCCGCGGUAAUAC
rnacentral:rRNA from 1 species